UGCCUUGCAUUAAUCUGGGUUUAUCUAGUGAAAUUUGUUCAUUUUGACUUGUCAAGUUAUCUGAGAAGUAUGCACUACUAGAGCCAUGUGCAAACAUUUCUGCCUUAUUCUAUCCACUCCCUGCCUAUUAAAAAAUUGUGAAGAAAGAUCUACAAGAAGAAAUACCUGAUACCUCUUUUCAUUGAACACCUCAUUCGAUAGUUCUGCCAGUGCUUAAAAAACCCUGCAAAAAGAAAUCAUGUUUGGAAAUUCUGUGGUCAUCUUUAAGAAAACAUGUGUGGUGAUGGCUAUAUUCCAUUUUUUCUGCUGCUGAAUC
rnacentral:lncRNA from 1 species